UGGCUAUGAUUAUAUGUUUAUCCGCGCUUCCGAGGUUAAACGAUGAAGCAAACUUAAAUAAAUGGUUGAAUUUCUUAAUAUGAGCCU